GUGGGGAAUAUUGGACAAUGGGCGAAAGCCUGAUCCAGCCAUGCCGCGUGUGUGAAGAAGGUCUUCGGAUUCUAAAGCACUUUAAGUUGGGAGGAAGGGCAGUAAGUUAAUACCUUGCUGUUUUGACGUUACCGACAGAAUAAGCACCGGCUAACUUCGUGCCAGCAGCCGCGGUAAUACGAAGGGUGCAAGCGUUAAUCGGAAUUACUGGGCGUAAAGCGCGCGUAGGUGGUUUUGUAAGUUGGAGGUGAAAUCCCCGGGCUCAACCUGGGAACUGCCUACAAAACUACUGAGCUAGAGUACGGUAGAGGGUAGUGGAAUUUCCUGUGUAGCGGUGAAAUGCGUAGAUAUAGGAAGGAACACCAGUGGCGAAGGCGACUACCUGGACUGAUACUGACACAGAGGUGCGAAAGCGUGGGGAGCAAACAGGAUUAGAUACCCGAGUAGUCC
rnacentral:rRNA from 1 species